rnacentral:rRNA from 1 species
UACGUAGGGUGCGAGCGUUGUCCGGAAUUAUUGGGCGUAAAGAGCUCGUAGGCGGCUUGUCGCGUCGGAUGUGAAAGCCCGGGGCUUAACUCCGGGUCUGCAUUCGAUACGGGCAGGCUAGAGUUCGGUAGGGGAGAUCGGAAUUCCUGGUGUAGCGGUGAAAUGCGCAGAUAUCAGGAGGAACACCGGUGGCGAAGGCAGCUCGCUGGGACGGUACUGACACUGAGGCGCGAAAGCGUGGGGAGCGAACAGG